AACUUGUAAUUGUGUACCUCCCCUCCUGUUUCUCUAAUUGAAAACUUGGCUGGUAUUGGGACCCUUAUUAACUUGGCUGACCACUCUGUUGCUUGUAGUCAUCCUGAGUUUUUAAAAUUUUUGUUUGUGGUGCAUAGGGGUUGCUUGCAUCACUUUCCUGAAACCUUAUUUGACAUAGAAUUAGCAUAAUUACAGUUUUGUUUCCCAUCCCAGUCUUAUCUUUUGGUCCCUGGGCUGGCUGAGGACCUUCUAUGUUGAAAGUGGGUCAUCCUCUGGUGGUGCUGGCCUUGGCAUGAGUGAUGUUGGUGAACCAAGACAAGAUCCCCUGGUUUGAACUGGUGGGGGCGGGAAAGGCUGUUGCCCUCUGGUGGCCUGUACGUGGUGAUGGUUCUCAAGCUGAAUCUCUUGUAAGGCUUGUAGAGACUGAAUCAAAAAACCAUUAGUGAAUUUAUUGGUUUGUUUCAAUUUAACUCUGGGGAGGAGAGAAGGAGGUCUCCCAUACAUGAUCUCAAAUGGGGUGAUUUUUUUACAUAUGGGGAGCAUCUAAUGCAUAGCAAGGCAAGAGGGAGGAGAUUUGGCCACUUUCUGCCAGUUUCUAAAAUAAAUUUAGUUAAUGUCUCUUUUAAGGUUCUAUUUAUCCUCUUUUCUUGCCCUGAACUCUGUGGGUGAUAAGCACAAUGUAAUUUCCAUUUAGUGUUUAAGGCUUUCACCAACUGUUGAGAUACUUGGGCUGUGAAGGCCCAACCUGUUGUAGGACCCCAGGUAGUGUGGGAGGCCAAAUUGGCGGGAUGAGCUCUUGGAGCAAUAUUUUUAUGACCAUGGCUGCAGUCUCUGUCUGGGUUGGGUAGGCUUCUACCCACCUUGAAAAAGUGUCCACCAGAACUAACAAAUACUUGAAUUUAUGUUUACUUGCCUUUAUCUCAGUGAAGUCCAGUUCCCAGUGUUCUCCUGUUUGGGUCCCCCUAAACCGAGUCCCAGUGUUUCUGGGCCUUGUUGCGGGGUUUACCUUGGCACAUACGUGGCACCUGGAACAAAUAUCUUGAGCCAACAGAGUUAGUCCUGGGAUGGAAAACUUACCAGAUCUCUUAAUUUCUUUUCCCCCAAAUGGGUGAGACAGUGGAGUUGUUGAAGUAUCUGUCUUCCCAACACUCUGGGAAAACAAAUGCAGCCAUCGGAUCUCUCCCACCAUCCAGAACUCUGUUUCAUUGCUCUUAAUUGUUUAUUUUGAACUUCUUCCUCAGGGAUAUAGUUUGGCUGGUUUGGUAAGUGUUCCAGGGGCUUCACAGGUAGGAUAUCUAUUGGCCCCACUGGUUCUUUGGUCACUCUCUUGGAUGCUAAAUUUGCUGCUCUGUUUCCUUUUGUCUCAUAGUGAUUCCCCUUUUGGUGUCCUCUGUAAUGGACAAUGGCCACUGCCUUUGGUUCCCAAAUUGCCUCCAAGAGGGCCAGAAUCCUUUUUUAUUUUUGAUGUUUUUUCCUUCUGAGGUCAAUAGGCCCUGCUGUUUGUAGAUGUCUCCAUGUACAUGAGCAGUGGUGAACGUAUACCAGCUGUCAGUAUAAAUGUUUAUAAUUUUUUCUCUU
ensembl:lncRNA